rnacentral:rRNA from 1 species
AUUGAACGCUGGCGGCAGGCCUAACACAUGCAAGUCGAGCGGAGCGGCGGACGGGUGAGUAAUGCCUAGGAAUCUGCCUGGUAGUGGGGGAUAACGUCCGGAAACGGGCGCUAAUACCGCAUACUAUCAGAUGAGCCUAAGUCGGAUUAGCUAGUUGGGGGGGUAAAGGCCUACCAAGGCGACGAUCUGUAGCGGGUCUGAGAGGAUGAUCCGCCACACUGGGACUGGGAACCGGCCCCGACCCCUACGGGAUGCAGCAGUGGGGAAUAUUUGACAAUUGGGGGAACCCUGAUUCAGCCAUGCCGCGGGUGUUGAUGAGGCCUUAUGGUUGUAAAGGACUUUUAGCGAGGAGGCGUUACUCGCAGAAGAAGCACCGGCUAACUCCGUGCCAGCAGCCGCGGUAAUAC